CCACAGAAGAAGAAAUUAGGACACAAACAUAUACAGAGGGAAGACCAUGUGAAGACACAGUGAGAAGACCACCAUCUGCCAUCAAACAAAUAGGGUGUCAGAAGGAACCAAACCUGUCAACCCCUAGAUCUAAGUACUGGAGCCACUAGAAUGGGCCCAGACUCCCUGAACAGAAGGCAAUUCCUAUUCCUGGGAUAAAGGAAAAACACAGAUACCAGGAAACACAGGUGACCACUCAUUAUGUCCCUCUGAGGCUCCAGGGAAAGCUAGACAUGAACUUCAGCUCUGAGGAGCAGGGAACGAAGAAUUCACUGACAUCUGUGCCAGCUGUUCCUCUGUUUGAAUUGCAGUUAGCUUCUGAGCUGGUGAAAAAAAAAUGUUAUCUUCAAAUAAAAAGGUGAUUUAAAGCUUGACUACUUUUUAAACUAAAAUAGACUUCUUUCAUUUGUAUAUGAAAGGAAACAAGUAAUAUUAAUUGUAAUAACUU